rnacentral:tRNA from 1 species
AUUUAUAUAGUAUAAAGUAAUAAUAUAUUUAAUUUCCAAUUAAAAGAUUUAUUUAAAUAGUUAAUAUAAAUU